UUACAUUCCUCAGGUCAAAGGAUGCUCAGACAGCAAAGCAAGGGGCAGAGCAGAACGAUGGAGAGAUGGCUGGAGCUUCAGGGCUCCA